rnacentral:pre_miRNA from 1 species
UUUUUAGAAUAAGUAUGUCUCAUACAAUAUUUGAAACAUACUUAUUCUAAAA